rnacentral:rRNA from 1 species
GACGAACGCUGGCGGCGUGCCUAAUACAUGCAAGUUGAGCGAUGAAGAUUGGUGCUUGCACCAAUUUGAAGAGCAGCGAACGGGUGAGUAACGCGUGGGGAAUCUGCCUUUGAGCGGGGGACAACAUUUGGAAACGAAUGCUAAUACCGCAUAACAACUUUAAACAUAAGUUUUAAGUUUGAAAGAUGCAAUUGCAUCACUCAAAGAUGAUCCCGCGUUGUAUUAGCUAGUUGGUGAGGUAAAGGCUCACCAAGGCGAUGAUACAUAGCCGACCUGAGAGGGUGAUCGGCCACAUUGGGACUGAGACAAGGCCCAAACUCCUACGGGAGGCAGCAGUAGGGAAUCUUCGGCAAUGGACGAAAGUCUGACCGAGCAACGCCGCGUGAGUGAAGAAGGGUUUCGGAUCGUAAAACUCUGUUGGUAGAGAAGAACGUUGGUGAGAGUGGAAAGCUCAUCAAGUGACGGUAACUACCCAGAAAGGGACGGCUAACUACGUG